UCUGAUCUCACCCCACCCUGUGGCCACAGGACCCUGCAGAUUCUUCGGAGAACCUGGAGGAGGAGGCCGUCAUCAUGAAAGACGUGCCUGACUGGAAGGUGGGCGAGUCUGUGUUCCACACCACGCGCUGGGUGCCGCCCCUCCUCGAAGAGUUGUACGGGCUGCGCACCAAGGAGGAGUUGGACAACGCCAGGUUCGGCUUCUCCUGGUACAUGUAGGGCCCGAGCCCACGCCCACAAUAAAGAAUCAUCAAA